UCCUCAAGGUGGCAGGAGGAGCCACCACUACAUUCUCAGUCCAUGCUGAAUCAGAGGGUCAGUGGGGUAGUCCAGGGGCAGAGUUCAGCUUCAGCACCCCAGGCAGGGCCAGGCAGUCCCCUUGAAACUGCAAAACCUAACACAGAAGGUCCAGUGACAUUGCAGGAACAAGGUUCUGAUGGGCCCUUGACACUCACAGCUUUAGGGCAGAGUUUGGGGAUCUAGAACUUGAGCACAAGGGACAGAGGAUUAUCGGAGCUGGGCCCGCGAUGGUCCCAGAACAAAGCGUCCCUCCGCUGCUCGGAUGUUCCUGCAUGGAUGCUCAUGGCUCUUGUUAGCCUGCCGCACCCUGCAUCUUCUCUUCCAGACAUCAUCCCCAGGGAUCCUGGGGUUACCACUGGGACAUGAAUGAGAUGGCAUGGAGUAGCGGUGCCAGGAAGGCCAGAAAUUCAGGCCGAGAUAGAAAGAAGUCAGGUGGGAUCUUGAAGAAGUCAGGCAUUGGAUGAAAAUUUUGCCAGGCCACAAGAAGGAAGGAAAUCAGUGCAGCUGUGGGAAAGUGGACUGUAGUGCUCAAAGCACUCAGUGGCAGAGAGUCUUAUGGAAAGCUGAUGGAGGCCUUAAGAGAGGUCG
rnacentral:lncRNA from 1 species